CUACGUGCCAGCAGCCGCGGUAAUACGUAGGGCGCGAGCGUUGUCCGGAAUUAUUGGGCGUAAAGAGCUUGUAGGCGGUUUGUCGCGUCUGCUGUGAAAGGCCGGGGCUUAACUCCGUGUAUUGCAGUGGGUACGGACAGACUAGAGUGCAGUAGGGGAGACUGGAAUUCCUGGUGUAGCGGUGGAAUGCGCAGAUAUCAGGAGGAACACCGAUGGCGAAGGCAGGUCUCUGGGCUGUAACUGACGCUGAGAAGCGAAAGCAUGGGGAGCGAACAGGAUUAGAUACCCUGGUAGUCCAUGCCGUAAACGUUGGGCACUAGGUGUGGGGAACAUUCCACGUUUUCCGCGCCGUAGCUAACGCAUUAAGUGCCCCGCCUGGGGAGUACGGCCGCAAGGCUAAAACUCAAAGAAAUUGACGGGGGCCCGCACAAGCGGCGGAGCAUGCGGAUUAAUUCGAUGCAACGCGAAGAACCUUACCAAGGCUUGACAU
rnacentral:rRNA from 1 species